rnacentral:rRNA from 1 species
GUCGAGGGGCGCACGAUGUAGCAAUACAUUGGUGGCGACCGGCGCACGGGUGAGUAACGCGUAUGCAACCUACCUAUCAGAGGGGAAUAACCCGGCGAAAGUCGGACUAAUACCGCAUAAAACAGGGGUUCCACAUGGAAAUAUUUGUUAAAGAAUUAUCGCUGAUAGAUGGGCAUGCGUUCCAUUAGAUAGUUGGUGAGGUAACGGCUCACCAAGUCCACGAUGGAUAGGGGUUCUGAGAGGAAGGUCCCCCACACUGGUACUGAGACACGGACCAGACUCCUACGGGAGGCAGCAGUGAGGAAUAUUGGUCAAUGGGCGAGAGCCUGAACCAGCCAAGUCGCGUGAAGGAUGAAGGAUCUAUGGUUUGUAAACUUCUUUUAUAUGGGAAUAAAGUGAGGAACGUGUUCCUUUUUGUAUGUACCAUAUGAAUAAGCAUCGGCUAACUCCGUGCCAGCUGCCGCGGUAAUACGGAGGAUGCGAGCGUUAUCCGGAUUUAUUGGGUUUAAAGGGUGCGUAGGUGGUUAAUUAAGUCAGCGGUGAAAGUUUGUGGCUCAACCAUAAAAUUGCCGUUGAAACUGGUUGACUUGAGUAUAUUUGAGGUAGGCGGAAUGCGUGGUGUAGCGGUGAAAUGCAUAGAUAUCACGCAGAACUCCGAUUGCGAAGGCAGCUUACUAAACUAUAACUGACACUGAAGCACGAAAGCGUGGGGAUCAAACAGGAUUAGAUACCCUGGUAGUCCACGCAGUAAACGAUGAUUACUAGCUGUUUGCGAUACACAGUAAGCGGCACAGCGAAAGCGUUAAGUAAUCCACCUGGGGAGUACGCCGGCAACGGUGAAACUCAAAGGAAUUGACGGGGGCCCGCACAAGCGGAGGAACAUGUGGUUUAAUUCGAUGAUACGCGAGGAACCUUACCCGG